CUAUAAGGAAAAAGGCAUGACUGGAAAAAGUGAUGAUUUGAUCCCUACUCCCCCAUGUCCUUCCCAUGCCAGCAGGCUGGCUCUCUCCCCAGGGGAACGCUCUCCAGACUGCCAUUUCCAAAGGCACGUUAAAAUGGACCAAAGUCUUAUGAAAAUGAUACUGUUAUGGGAAGAAGUAGUUAAGUCAGAGGGAAAAAUGCAGGAAGAAUGUCUGGAUGAAAAGAACAUAGCCAUUGAUUUGAAAACGAGCAAAUGUUGAAAAUAUUGCCAGUGUUUCUCCACUUACCCCUACAAAGCCAUAAGAGGUUGCCAAGGACACCUUGGAUGGGCUCUGCCAGCACACAGCUCUUUGCUCUUUCCUUGGCGGUGUGUGACACGACUGAGGGGUGACCCAGCAGCAGCAGUGAGGAGAGCACCCUUGCCACCUGUUUGGGCCUUUGUGUGGACACACUGGGAAGACUAGGAAUUGCUCAACCACCGUGGAGCCUGGAACACGAGUGCUCUCCACCUGUGAAGUUGCACUGCAGCUAUCAUGAGAAAUGAAACAAUGCUCUUCAUCCUGGUUCCUGGAAAAAGACAGAAAUAUGGUAUUUCACCAGAAAAGUCUGUCCAAGUAGGAACUGCAAGGCGACUGCCCUGCCUGGGGAAAGAAAUUGGCAGCAGCUAGGCAUUUUUAGAUCCUGUCUGGAAGGGAGGCUGAAGUGUGUGCAGCUGCACUCAUCAUAAUAGUGCUGCCCUGGCAGCAGCUGCAAGCAAGGGAAGUCCUGUGUACACCUUGUGUGCAGUGAAUGAAGAUGACAAGAGCAGGGGUAAGACCACGCCUUUGUAUUUUUGCUUUGCUUUCUUGCUUUCCUUCAAUAUAUUUUCUAGCUGGAAUGACUUACAAUGUUUUAGACAGUAGCUAUUAAUAACAGGUCCUUUUUCUCAUCCUUCUCACCUAAGUUGCUUUGAAGAGCAGAUGCCCUUUGAAGGCAGAACAAGCUACCACCUAAGCCACGCUUGCUUGUUUCGACCAACUGGCAGGCCAUGUCUUGUCUGUCACAGCUUCACUGCUGCAACACUGAAUCUACUUAGAGAGCAUUAAGUCUGGGAGUGCAAGCCAGAUCUUUGUCUUGCUUGGCCAUGCUGCCACCCAGAGGGGCCUGGGCAAUCUAGAGAAAUGGGCUGAAAAGAACCUCAUGGAGUUCAACAGUGAGAAGUGCUGAGUCCUGCCUCUGGGGAAAUAAACCCACAGGCUGGGGUCAUCCAGAUGGAAGCAGCUCUGUAGGAAAGGCCCUGAGGUCCCGGUGGGCACAGUAGGUUCAGCAUGUGUCACUAAGACGACUAACAGUAUUCUUGGCUGGAUUAGGCAAAGUAUCACCAGUAGGCCAAGGGGAGUGAUCCUUCUCCUUUGCUCAGCACUAGCAAGGCCUCACCUGGAGUGCUGGGCUCAUUUCUGGCCCCCUGGAGAGAGCCCGGCGCAGAGACACUGAGAUGCUGCAAGGCCUGGAGCAGCUCUGCUGUGAGCAGAAGCUGAGAGAGCUGGGGCUGCUGAGCCUGGAGAAGACGCCCAGGGAGUUCUCAUCUGUGCCCAUGAAUACUUGAAGGGAGCCAGGCUCUGUUCAGUGGUGCCCAAUGGCAGAACCAAAGGCACUGGACACAAAUUGGAGCACAAGGAGGUUCCCUCUGACCAUCAGGCAGCACUUCUGUGCUGUGCUGGUUAUGGAGAGCUGCCACGGGGACCCAGAGGCUGUGGGGUCUCCUCCUUGGAGAUCUCCAAAAGUUACCUGGACAUGGUACCAGGCACACUGCUCUGGGUGCAUCCGGCACUCACUCAGUUGAGGGGACAGAGUAAGUACCAAGAUAGAUAUUCCUGUGACUUUCCAUUCUUAGUUUCUCAGCUGUUAGCCUUUAGUUUAAUGUUACAAAGGACAUAUAUCACACUAUAUACAAUACAUGUAUACACAUAUACGCAUAUGCACACACAUAUACACAUAAGCAUCAUAGAAUGGUUUUAGUUGGAAGGGGCCUCAAGGAUCAUCAUGUUCCAACCCAACUGCCACAGGCAGGAUUGCCAAAUAUGUGUGUGUGUAUUAAAGUACUUUAGAAGUGAAGACAGCGAAAAUACAGACUAGCACUGUUAAUGAUAUCGAUCCACCCUGUUUCUGAAAUCACUACUAUUAUACGUGUUACUUGAAAACAUGCUAGUCUGUGAGGAAUACAAAAUUCCCUUUAAAAAGCCUGAUUGAUUUCCAUAUAUAGUUAAUCUUGCACAGCUGAUUACUGCAUUCCUACUGUAGCUUGUACCUACUUGAGAAAAACUCAUGAGGAAUAUUCUACGGAAUCAAUAUACGGCCAAGUUCAUUCCUGCUCUGAAUCACUGAGGAGACUGAGGUGUUGAAAACUGCAGAGGAAAAAUUAACAUCUAUUUAAGUAGUAUUAAUUAUGCUUGUCAGUUUUAUAACACAUCUGAGAACUGUAUUAAAGAACCAC
ensembl:lncRNA